GGCUCCGUAGCUUAGCCUGGUUGAGCGCACGACUGAUAAUCGUGAGGCCCCGCGUUCAAAUCGCGGCGGAGCCA
rnacentral:tRNA from 1 species